rnacentral:rRNA from 1 species
CAGCAGCCGCGGGAAUACGAAGGGGGCUAGCGUUGCUCGGAAUGACUGGGCGUAAAGGGCGCGUAGGCGGCGAUCAAAGUCAGGCGUGAAAUUCCUGGGCUCAACCUGGGGGCUGCGUUUGAUACUUGAUUGCUAGAGUGGGGAAGAGGGUCGUGGAAUUCCCAGUGUAGAGGUGAAAUUCGUAGAUAUUGGGAAGAACACCGGUGGCGAAGGCGGCGACCUGGUCCUUGACUGACGCUGAGGCGCGAAAGCGUGGGGAGCAAACAGGAUUAGAUACCCCUGUAGUCCCUGUCUCUUAUAA